rnacentral:rRNA from 1 species
GAUGAACGCUGGCGGCGUGCCUAAUACAUGCAAGUCGAGCGAACAGACGAGGAGUUUGCUCCUCUGACGUUAGCGGCGGACGGGUGAGUAACACGUGGAUAACCAACCUAUAAGACUGGGAUAACUUCGGGAAACCGGAGCUAAUACCGGAUAAUAUAUUGAACCGCAUGGUUCAAUAGUGAAAGACGGUUUUGCUGUCACUUAUAGAUGGAUCCGCGCCGCAUUAGCUAGUUGGUAAGGUAACGGCUUACCAAGGCAACGAUGCGUAGCCGACCUGAGAGGGUGAUCGGCCACACUGGAACUGAGACACGGUCCAGACUCCUACGGGAGGCAGCAGUAGGGAAUCUUCCGCAAUGGGCGAAAGCCUGACGGAGCAACGCCGCGUGAGUGAUGAAGGUCUUCGGAUCGUAAAACUCUGUUAUUAGGGAAGAACAAAUGUGUAAGUAACUAUGCACGUCUUGACGGUACCUAAUCAGAAAGCCACGGCUAACUACGUG